UACGGAGGGUGCAAACGUUGCUCGGAAUCAUUGGGCGUAAAGCGCACGUAGGCGGCUCGUUAAGUCAGGGGUGAAAUCCUGGAGCUCAACUCCAGAACUGCCUUUGAUACUGAGGAUCUUGAGUUCGGGAGAGGUGAGUGGAACUGCGAGUGUAGAGGUGAAAUUCGUAGAUAUUCGCAAGAACACCAGUGGCGAAGGCGGCUCACUGGCCCGAUACUGACGCUGAGGCACGAAAGCGUGGGGAGCAAACAGG
rnacentral:rRNA from 1 species